rnacentral:ncRNA from 1 species
AAUGGUAGAGGUGCGGUAUUUAAGAGUACGGCAGUUUAUACGACAGGCAAUCGGAGCUGCUUUAAAGGAAAUAUCGCCGAAACUGAUAGGUCAUUGCCUUGAUUUAUCGGUUGGGCUGCAGGAGAAUAUGCUGCAGACUGUCACAUUUGUGGAGCGCUAUCUGU